UACACAUAUAAUACACACAUACACGCUCAAUUCAUUGAAAUGUAGCGAGAAUGCGAAAACUAGUUCGAUGUCGUUUCAAAUUCGGAUCAAUCUGAUAUCAAUUAUUGUUUUCUACUUGAU
ensembl:ncRNA C45B2.13 ncRNA